GUAGGUGAACCUGCGGAAGGAUCAUUAUCAUAUAAUAUCCACGAUAUUAACCAUUACGCGAACUGUUUUCUUUGCCUUUCAGUAAACAGAUACCAACGUGGACGACGCAUGGGGCUUGUUUUUGAAGUAAUUUAAAGCCUACACCAAACAUGUCUCGUCUCUUUUUCUAGCGAUAGAAAAAUUGGUAAGUUUCUGAAUUGUAAUUUCCAAAUUACUUUUUUAUCUUAUUAACAAUUUGAACAAUUUUUUCAUUAAAAAUUGAACUGAUUCUUUCGUUUGCAGCUGAAAAGCGAGACGAAGUAAAAUAAAAAAUAACAAAAACAACUCUUAGCAACGGAUAUCUUGGUUCUC
rnacentral:misc_RNA from 1 species